rnacentral:lncRNA from 1 species
UCUAGCUUUACGUAUAAACUACAUGACAAAGGUUCCCCUUACUGAAAAGGUUGCACUAGAUCCAUGACAUCUCUGCACUAUUAAACCCUCUUUUAAUUUGAAUUUCAAUGAUAUUGGGAAAUUAUGAAUUCUCUGUUCGUUCCUAUAUGCGAUUGUAGUUCAUAAUUAAUUUGUGUUAUCUAGUUUCUUUUUUGUAUUUAGCACUUAUUAUUGGAAUUACUUCAGCUUUUGGAAUGUUUUAAUCAUAUAGAGGAUGACGUUGGCAAAGUCUAAAAUGACACAAUGUUGAUAGAAGUGUUAUGCGGGCAAUUGGUCCAAGGAUUUUGAGUUGCAGUUGGUGAGUGAGUAUUCUUGAAAUUACCCACUUGGAAUAUGUGAUGAGGUACGGGAAACGUGGGAAAUUAAUCCCCGUCAUGUCAAGUCGUUAAGGAAGCUACUUGGGAACUCGAGGAGCAUAUGUGGCCUAGUACCCAUACCCCUUAGAUUGUAAUAACCCGAUCUUAAAUUAAUAUAUAAUUAUUCAAUAAAAAGACGAUUUUACCC